rnacentral:rRNA from 1 species
UGAAUACGAGAUGCUACGGCGUCGAAGCAGUCUAUGUCAUACUUCCAAGAAAAGCUCGCACUGUCAUAAACAAAUAAUGCCUGUACCAUAACCGACACAGGUGGGUAGGUAGAGUAUACUAAGGGGCGCGAGAUAACUCUCUCUAAGGAACUCGGCAAAAUGACUCCGUAACUUCGGGAGAAGGAGUGCCUUAUUUAUAAGGUUGCAAUAACAAGAUCCAAGCAAUUGUUUAUCAAAAACACAGGUCUCCGCUAAGUCGUAAGACGAUGUAUGGGGGCUGACGCCUGCCCAGUGCCAGAAGGUUAAAGAAGUUGGUUAGCAUUCGCGAAGCUGAUAACUGAAGCCCUGGUGAACGGCGGCCGUAACUAUAACGGUCCUAAGGUAGCGAAAUUCCUUGUCGGGUAAGUUCCGACCCGCACGAAAGGCGUAAUGAUUUGGAUACUGUCUCGGAGAGGGGCUCGGUGAAAUAGACUUGUCUGUGAAGAUGCGGACUACCUGCACCAGGACAGAAAGACCCUAUGAAGCUUUACUGUAACUUGAGAUUGAAAUUGGACUUUACUUGCGCAGUAUAGGUGGGAGGCGUUGAUAAUAUUCUUGCGGGAUUAUUUGAGCCAUCAGUGAGAUACCACUCUUGUAAUGUUAGAUUUCUAACUUUGUAUCAUUAUCUAGUCAAAGGACAGUUUCAGGCGGGCAGUUUGACUGGGGCGGUCGCCUCCUAAACGGUAACGGAGGCGCACAAAGGUUUCCUCUGAACGGGUAGAAAUCGUAUCUAGAGUGUAAAGGCAUAAGGAAGCUUGACUGUGAGACCUACAAGUCGAGCAGGGACGAAAGUCGGUUUUAGUGAUCUGACGGUGCUGAGUGGAAAGGCCGUCACUCAACGGAUAAAAGUUACUCUAGGAUAACAGGCUGAUCUCCCCCAAGAGUUCACAUCGACGGGGAGGUUUGGCACCUCGAUGUCGGCUCAUCGCAUCCUGGGGCGGUAGUACGUCCCAAGGGUUGGGCUGUUCGCCCAUGAAAGCGGUACGCGAGCUGGGUUCAGAACGUCGUGAGACAGUUCGGUCCAUAUCCGGUGUAGGCGUUAGAAUAUUGAGAGGAGCCUUCUUUAGUACGAGAGGACCGAGAAGGACAUACCUCUGGUGUACCAGUUAUCGUGCCAACGGUAAACGCUGGGUAGCUAUGUAUGGAGUGGAUAACCGCUGAAAGCAUCUAAGUGGGAAGCCCACCCCAAGAUAAGUAUUCUC